UAGUACGGCGCACUGUGCUGGAAUCGCCCUUAGAGUUGAUCCUGGCUCAGGAUGAACGCUGGCGGUAUGCCUAACACAUGCAAGUCGUACGAGAGUUUUAACUCAAGUGGCGGACGGGUGAGUAACACGUGAGAAUCUGCCUUUAGGAGGGGGACAACAACUGGAAACGGUUGCUAAUACCCCAUAUGCUUUCGAGUGAAAUGAAUUUAUUCGCCUAAAGAGGAGCUCGCGCCUGAUUAGCUUGUUGGUGGGGUAAAAGCCUACCAAGGCGACGAUCAGUAUCUGGUUAGAGAGGACGAUCAGACACACUGGAACUGAGACACGGUCCAGACUCCUACGGGAGGCAGCAGUGGGGAAUUUUCCGCAACUGGGCGAAAGCCUGACGGUGCAAUACCGCGCGAGGGAAGACGGCCUAUGGGUUGUAAACCUCUUUUUUCAGGGAGGAAUAAUUGACGUGUACCUGAAGAAUAAGCAUCGGCUAACUCCGUGCCAGCAGCCGCGGUAAGACGGAGGAUGCAAGUGUUAUCCGGACUCACUGGGCGUAAAGCGUCUGUAGGUUGUCGAACAAGUCAACUGU
rnacentral:rRNA from 1 species